rnacentral:rRNA from 1 species
UACGUAGGGCGCAAGCGUUUAUCCGGAAUUAUUGGGCGUAAAGAGCUCGUAGGCGGUUUGUCGCGUCUGCCGUGAAAGUCCGGGGCUCAACUCCGGAUCUGCGGUGGGUACGGGCAGACUAGAGUGCGGUAGGGGAGAUUGGAAUUCCUGGUGUAGCGGUGGAAUGCGCAGAUAUCAGGAGGAACACCAAUGGCGAAGGCAGAUCUCUGGGCCGUAACUGACGCUGAGGAGCGAAAGCAUGGGGAGCGAACAGG